rnacentral:rRNA from 1 species
ACGGGAGGCAGCAGUGAGGAAUAUUGGUCAAUGGACGGAAGUCUGAACCAGCCAAGUCGCGUGAAGGAUGAAGGUAUUAUGUAUUGUAAACUUCUUUAGCAGUGGAGUAAUAAGGGGAUCGCGAUCCCUGAUGCAAGUACACUGAGAAUAAGGAUCGGCUAACUCCGUGCCAGCAGCCGCGGUAAUACGGAGGAUCCGAGCGUUAUCCGGAUUUAUUGGGUUUAAAGGGAGCGUAGGCGGGCCUUUAAGUCAGUGGUAAAAGCGUGUGGCUCAACCAUACCACGCCAUUGAAACUGGAGGCCUUGAGUGCACACAGGGAUGCUGGAAUUCGUCGUGUAGCGGUGAAAUGCUUAGAUAUGACGAAGAACUCCGAUCGCGAAGGCAGGUGUCCGGGGUGUAACUGACGCUGAGGCUCGAAAGUGCGGGUAUCAAACAGGAUUAGAUACCCUGGUA